UGCACAUUAAUGAAGGUUUGAAUUUAAAGUGGUUAACACCACCGAUUCAAACUGGAAACCUGUUGUA
rfam:Ciona intestinalis ciona0199, whole genome shotgun sequence.